UCGUGUGUUGAACUGGAUGUGUUGGUGCAGUUUGGGUAAUAUGUACGUAAGAUUGGCCCGGUUAAAGUGCCCGGUUACCCGACGUCGUGGUCUGGUUCCUCAGCAGUCAGCCAGGUUUCUGUGAGGAAGAUCACGCUGCAGGUCUCGAUGUCCGACCCGGCAGAGAUCCGCGUCUGUAGCUCGCACAGGUUGUUUUCCAGAGACUGUAUGUUGGCCAGUAACACGAGUGGGAGUUGGUGAGGACGCCUCUUCCUCAGCUGGACCUUAACCCCGACUCGGCUGCUUCGGGCCCCGUGACCACUAGAGGGGCCCCCAAGAGCAAUUAACUUAAAAAAGAAAAAAGAGCACUGUUAAAGUAUUUAGGAGGAGGCACUGACUCAGCCCAGGGGCAAUCCACCUCCUAAGUAGCAGCCAAGGCUGAUGAAUCAGGUCCAUCUCUAUCCUCUGCUCCAUCCACUGUGCCCACUGUCCUCUCUGCAACCUCAGCUGUACCUGGUCCUUCAUCUUUGGUCAUCAAGAUUGAUGUGUCUUCUUCAGCAUCCAGUUUGGAGCAGGGUUCAGCAGCUCCGCCAGUUGACCCAGCUGAGUCUUUCCUGUCAGACUCAGAAAGGACUGAACAGGUAUUAAGAGGGCCACUGCCUAUAAAGGACACAUUCACAUUCCCAAAAAGACACAUGGCAGUAAUAGAGGGCCCCAAAAUCAAAUUUUGCUUAGGGCCCCAUGGAGGCUUGGGCCGGCCCUGGCCCCUGUGUUUCUUUUUCGGGUAAUUUUGAGCCAGGAUACAGAGUGAGGAAGUCUCCGCUGUGCUCUUCUCCCUGAUGCUUAGAAGUAUCUCUCUGCUGUAGGUGACCCUGGGGGUUUCUGUCAUGUUGCUGCUGUCGUUUGCGACUGCGGUCAAGCCAGCCUACACAUCGUGAACGACCCAGUUUUUUGCUGUACGUGAUUAUAGUAGCUUUACGGUAAUAGCGUCUCAGAACUGGUUUCAAAAUAAAAGCCCGUCAAAGUGUCAAAUAUGAGACUAAUUACAUAUGAUUUGGGAUUCAAUUUAAAAGGAAACGCCCUGUUAUCAAAGAAUAAUUCCACUUCAGGGUUAUAGUAUACGACCCCAUAGUGUGACCCAGUAAGUUUCAAGACAUUCUGAUAGAUGUAUAUUUUUUAAACCCUAUCCAUGUAAAGAUUUCUGAUAUACAACAUGUUCUAUGUAUUAUUAAGAGUUCUAGUUGUGACAUCAAAUUAUAAAUACUUAUCUUUUGCAUGCCUUUAAAAGCAAUUUCAAAAUUCUAUCACUGGGUUAAAAUCAUUAGAAGUAGUUAUUCCUGUUUUGAUUUCACAUUUUUCCUUUUGGCCCUAUUCCUCUAGCAAGUGGGCGUCAUUGCUGUUCACAUGUCUCCUGGUUUAAAUAUUCUAACCAUCAAUAUUUUUCUUUACAUUGAAAGUUAUUCUUUUCUCUUUGUAUGAUCACAGUGGAGGAGAAUAGUACGGUCUUGCAAGUAUAGGAAUCCUAAUUUUGAUGACUAAGACAAAGUUCGGGGUCGCCUGAGCUCCAUUACUCUACAGUCCAGCCCCAUCUUUGCAGAAACCAUUUCACCCCACCAGGAGUUCCAUCAUUGAACCUCUAGGCAGCGGUAUAGGGUCCUCAUCCAUUAACUUCGGUUUACUACUUGAUUGUUCUACUUCGAUGGAUACUGUAAUACUUUUUUAUUCAAUUAACUUUGUACAUUUUUAUUUUUUCAUACUCUUAUACAUACAUGUGUCUGUUAAAUACCCAACAUGUAUUUAUUUUACAAAUGUAUUUUUUAUUGUUUUGUACAUUCACAACAAACUUUAUAAUAAUAUAAGCUUUACAUUUUGAAAUUAAAUAGAAUAAAAACAGCUGUAACCAUAUUGGAGUAACUACGUAUUUAAAUUUAGAGAAUAUGAAAAAGUGAAAAUAAUAAAUAUGUAAAAAAAUAAAUAUAAUAAAGAUACAUUUUCAAGUAUCCAGUUUAGCGUUAGCUUUUUCAACAUAUACACAUUUUUUUCUGUAAAUACUUUAACUCGUUUGCCAAAGAGUAUUACACCUGCUGUGUAAUGGUUCAGAAUGUAAAUACUCUGUCCAUGUUUACACUGGUUGGCAAAGAGAUGGAAGAGGCCCUCCAUAACCUAAAUUAAAAAACAUAGAUAAAGACAGAAGAAGACAAAAUAAAUAGAGCGGAUUACACAAUAAUCACAGGUUUAAAUAAACAAUGUAAAAAUACAAUCCUAUUGGUAUGGAAAGUUAUUCUUUUUUUGUCAGAACUUGGAAUUCUUUUCUCAAUAAAGUCUACAUAACAAGUUUAUUUUUGAUAUUUUAUUGUAUUGUGGGUAAUGUUGGAACAACCAAAUACCUUGCCUGUCAGCCAUCGGUGAGAUCUCAGCGAGCACAGUUCGCUGUGAUGGAUCACAAAACUGUGACCUGGCUGUGUGAGGGCCGGGAUCACUGCAGUUUCUGUGCUCUUCCUCUUCCACAGUGACUUUAGCAUAAAAACAAAUUUACACAUUUUUAAUACUUAUAUAGUCCCAAUAAUAUCCCACAUAUUAAUGAUAAAUUAAACAAAACUCUAUAUAAUCAAUCUCAAAUACUGUAAGUUAAAUUCCAUUAACUUAUGUAAAAUGAGCUAUGUCAACGUAACACCAGUCGAAAAAGCAGCAAUACAAAAUACCUGUAAUAUGGUACAUCCUCAGGUAAUGAACUCAUCACUAAAUAUAUAUUCUAAAUACAUGCAAGGAUGAUAUGCUCAUAGGGCAAUGACUGAAGUAAUUUCUGUUGAAUAUUCAAAUACAGUUUAAGAAUACUGCUAUCAGUCAUGAAGAUGAAUCCUACCCGCUUUUCUUCCACUUCUGACAUCUUCAGGUUGUCUUCCAAAGGGGGAGGUGAAAGUAUCUGAGUACAUGCUCUUUCCAUCUCCUUGACUGAUGGUUCAUCAUGGUUCACAAGGUGAACUAUGAGGUUUGGUGUUUUUAAUGUAUUCUUCUCAUGGAAGUCGUUGACUGUGGCCACUAUGACGUCAGCACACAAUGGUAGGGGCAUGUUGAAGAUUCCAGAGCUAAUGUCUGGAAUGGCGACUGACUUGAAAUGGUGUUUUCAGACUUGUUUCAGUAUAUAUAGUAUAUAUGUGUAUGGCUUUUUUAAAAACUGUUUUUUGCAUUGUACAGUGCCUUUGGGGAUGGAUUCAGAUUGAGUCGUGGGCCGACAGCAUGAAUUAUUUUUGGACAGGGGAGAUCACCAGCGCCUGUAACAAUGGCCUCUCCCGUUUUUAAUUUUCCAAACUUCCGAAUGUGUAGGUCACUCUUGUAUCCUUGGCCCUCCAGCUUUGCUUAAUGCCAGUGCAAGCCCGCCUUUGUGUCGCAGGUCCUCAUUUGCAGCAUUGACAACAGCAUCAACAACAAAUGCUGUUAGAUCGGCCUUCCAGACACAUACUUCCAUUUUUUGAGAAAGUUUAACUGAAAACCUCUUCACUUGUUGAACCGGAGCUGGUUUUUGUCUUGGAGACUGCAGCGGUGGUGGUGGUGAUGCAUCUUCCACCAAAGUGUCACUGUCUGCGACGACAGUUACCUCUCUAUCAAUCUGUAAACAUGUUAUGUAUCAGGUUAUAUAAAUAUUUUUUCUUUUAGAAGUCUUGCUUUCUACCUUUUUGAGAAUUUUUAACAUACACAGAAAUGUAAUUCUUUGUUUAGCAAUAAGCCAUAAUUUAGUUACAGCGGUACAUUUACUAUACCUUCUCCUUUGAUUUUUGGAAGGUGAAUGGCUUGCGGAUUGGAGUUACAUAUGUCCCCCUCUUAUUCUGUUGCCGUUCCUUCCAUUUCUCAGCAUCCACUCUGAAUGUCUUCACAAAUAAGUAUACUAUCCAAAUUCAUAUGUAAUUUGUCUCAUAUUUGACACUUUGACGGGGUUUUAUUUUGAAACUAUACAUCAGAAUGUCUUGAUACUUACUGGGUCACACUACGGGGUCUACUUUGACGGGCUUUUAUUUUGAAACCAGUUCUGAGACGCUAUUACCGUAAAGCUACUAUAAUCACUUACAGCUAAAAACUGGGUCGGCUGGUGCUGGUGCUCGUAAGAUAUCAGCUGUUAAUAAAGAGCCUCAAACACACCCACAGUGUGGCGCUCACGGUGUUUUAGGCUACCUGGCCACGUUCCCAUCCCCCCCCCCCCACCACCUUAUAUGAGGUAGGUGUGUUGUGGGCGGGGCCGGAACCAGGAAAUGAACACAUGAUUUGUUUGUGUCUUUUGAGACAAAUAGUUAAUUAAAUUAAUUAAUUGUUUGUGAUCAGGUUGUCUUUGUUAGGUCAUAUUCAGUUUAUGUUAAGUUGUGUUUAGUUGACACAUUUAUGGGACCAGACCUUUAUUGUGUAUUUUGUAAAUUCUUUAAAGGGACAUUGUGUAGUGUUUUAAGUAUUUUAUUAGCUAAAAUCAAUGUCUUCCUUCAUAAAUGUGUCCUCAUUGGUGUAAAAUUACCUCUGCCAAUGAUCUGACUUAUCCUAUGUUUCUCUUCUGUAUAUACAUUGGACGGGCAAGUCCGUGGAGGCUUCCAUGUCGUUCCGCCAUUUGGAAAAACUAUAAUCGCUGAGAGGGACAUAAAGCACUAGUCUACCUGUCUAGCUAAUCCACAACACGUUUUCGUUCAGAGCCAGUGUCACAGGACUGAAACCAGCUAUAACAGAGAAGGAAUCCUUGUCACCAAAAAAGGAAAAAGGGAAUUAAAAAGGCAUCGUGACCGUCAAAUUCAAAAAACGAGGGUAAACAUCGGGGUAGCUUUUCCCAGGUGGAAAGAGCUAAUGAAGGAGAAAGACUUUCAAAGGGACGCUGAAGUUGCCUGCUUUCUCCUCGACAGGCAGGCUUCUUGGUACAUAACGGCUACCGUAGUUGCAAUACGCAUUUGAAAACACGAGGCACUAGAGAGCACUAUUCGUUUGAAUGCAAAAUACAAUUUCACCGCUAGAUGGGAGAAAUUCCUACACAAUGUCCCUUUAAUUUGUGGGAAAAUAAAAGCUGCUUUUUGAAAAUUCA